rnacentral:misc_RNA from 1 species
AAAAGCGGAGGAAAAGAAACCAACAGGGAUUGCCCUAGUAACGGCGAGUGAAGCGGCAACAGCUCAAAUUUGAAAUCUGGCCCUCGGGUCCGAAUUGUAAUUUGUAGAGGAUGCUUUUGGUGAGGUACCUUCCGAGUUCCCUGGAACGGGACGCCAUAGAGGGUGAGAGCCCCGUCUGGUUGGAUACCGAUCCUCUGUAAAGCUCCUUCGACGAGUCGAGUAGUUUGGGAAUGCUGCUCUAAAUGGGAGGUAUAUGUCUUCUAAAGCUAAAUAUUGGCCAGAGACCGAUAGCGCACAAGUAGAGUGAUCGAAAGAUGAAAAGCACUUUGAAAAGAGAGUUAAAAAGUACGUGAAAUUGUUGAAAGGGAAGCGCUCAUGACCAGACUUGGGCUUGGUUGAUCAUCCAGGGUUCUCCCUGGUGCACUCUUCCAGCCCAGGCCAGCAUCAGUUCGCUGUGGGGGAUAAAGGCUUUGGGAAUGUGGCUCCUCCGGGAGUGUUAUAGCCCAUUGUGUAAUACCCUGUGGUGGACUGAGGUUCGCGCAUCUGCAAGGAUGCGGCGAUGCCUAGUACGGCGAGUGAAGCGGCAACAGCUCAAAUUUGAAAUCUGGCCCUCGGGUCCGAAUUGUAAUUUGUAGAGGAUGCUUUUGGUGAGGUACCUUCCGAGUUCCCUGGAACGGGACGCCAUAGAGGGUGAGAGCCCCGUCUGGUUGGAUACCGAUCCUCUGUAAAGCUCCUUCGACGAGUCGAGUAGUUUGGGAAUGCUGCUCUAAAUGGGAGGUAUAUGUCUUCUAAAGCUAAAUAUUGGCCAGAGACCGAUAGCGCACAAGUAGAGUGAUCGAAAGAUGAAAAGCACUUUGAAAAGAGAGUUAAAAAGUACGUGAAAUUGUUGAAAGGGAAGCGCUCAUGACCAGACUUGGGCUUGGUUGAUCAUCCAGGGUUCUCCCUGGUGCACUCUUCCAGCCCAGGCCAGCAUCAGUUCGCUGUGGGGGAUAAAGGCUUUGGGAAUGUGGCUCCUCCGGGAGUGUUAUAGCCCAUUGUGUAAUACCCUGUGGUGGACUGAGGUUCGCGCAUCUGCAAGGAUGCUGGCGUAAUGGUCAUCAGCGACCCGUCUUG